CACACACAGUCGCGGCAUCACUCGCAGCCCCGGGGGAUUCUUUAAUCUCGUGAACAUUUCAGGCACUGUGAGAGGAAACGGACGAAAAUGUGUCUUUUGUGGGCUUUGAUGAUAAUCGUGUGUCUUCACUUUGGAGGACUCUGCAGUGCAUUUUAUGUAGGCCAGUCACUCACUGUGGAAUAUGGGGACUCUGUGGUCCUGCCCUGUGACGGCUCGACCUUCGCAGGGGAGGAGGGGACCGUCCACUGGGAGACGAUGGGGACGGAUGUGGCAUUUCUGCAGGAAGGAGGAC
rnacentral:lncRNA from 1 species